UAACUCUAUUUUAAUUAUAACUGAUGCCUUCCUCACUGCCCUUUGCUGUCAGUAACUGUCACUUAAACUAAUCCUGACCCCAUCCCAGACAUUGAUUAAAAUUCUUUUUUGCUAACUCAUCCUUUGGUGUAUACUAUGAACAGGAUAAAUUUGGGACUUCAGGUCAGCUUAAUAUCGAAAGCCCUUCCUAAUGACAUUCUCUCAAGAUCAGAGAACUUCUAAGAGCUCCUGGGAAGGGCACCUUUGUUUAAGUAAUCAUCCCUGCAUUUAUCUGCUCUCUUUCCCUAGCUGAUAAUGAAACUAUACAGAGGAACUUCAGGCCCCUCCCGGCCCCUCCUCCCCCCCCCCACCCAAGGCUGCAAGGGAGAGGGACUGUCAGCCAAACAGAGAUACAGAGAAAGCAGUGGACACAUAGGAGAUAUUGAUCUGCCCUGCAAAACUCAACGACAAGUUUUCCAAUCAACAUUCUGGCCACAAGGCAUUCUGUCAAGACCCAGAUAAGCUGCACUGGAGCACGUACCUGCGUGGCCUAUGUGGAUCCGUGCAAAGCUGCCUAGGUACCAGGAAGAGCUUUUUCCCUGCAAGCAGACCCUCAGGAAGUAUCCAUGGAACGAAUACAUGAGGAAACCAAGGUCCAAAGAUGUGAAGGGCUCCACCCACCAUCACACAGCCGUGCGUCCCGGAGCCGGGACUGGAACCUGCUUUCUCAGACUCUGUCUGCCACACCCACCGCUUUUUCUCUUCUACCCGGUAAGCAGUCGAGCGCAAGGUAGGAGUGACGCUUGGACUCCUAACAUGAGGAGCGUCGCCUGGAACCGACUGACCUGAGCAAACGUAGUUGCUCCUUUGAGACCAAAACACAAAACGUUGGGAGACCUGUCUUGCUUCCUGUUCCAGCCCAAGCUGGCUGUGUGUUUUGAGUAAACUACCCAAAUGCUCUGUGCCUUUUCUCCACCUCAGCCCCAGGUACCCCGAAAGCUGGACUCCGGCCCUAAUCCCCUACCAUAAAUCAUUACACGAAAAGCCCCAAGGGGAGAAAGCCUUGUUUUAAAUGCGAAGCCGCUCAGAGGGAUUGUUCAGCCCCCGACUUCUACUGAGGGACUCUGUUUGAAGCUUUCUGCCCAGUUCCCAGUUUUGUGCUCGGCUUUGGAGUUUUCUCUUGCAGGGAGUGAACAAAGCCCAUUUAGAAACCCAAACCUACCCACCAGCCAUUCCCUGGGGUCUAGGCCCAGCUCCUGGAUCUAUCUGGGCGGCCGAGAGAGGAAAGUGCCUGCCGCCAGAUUCAAUGGGCCCAUUAUGCUCGGCUAAUUCCACAGCAGAACACUGUGUCUUUGAGGGCCUGGCAGUAACUCGUCCUACCUGUUCA